rnacentral:lncRNA from 1 species
UGGGCUCAUAGGAAAUAUCUGUAGUAGGAUGAAAGGAAUCUGGCCUAGGGAGCCCCGGACUCGGUUUACCUACCCCGUACUCAUCCCACUCAUCUGUCUACCCUAGUGUCCAUCAUGCCCUGGAUGAAUCGUAGGUGGGAGGGACAGAAGCCGAGAACACCAGGCACACGGGGUGGGGGGAAUGGGGGGAGCCCAGGUGAUCCCCUUUGGAAAGUGGAUUGAUCCUCUCCCCUGUGGAAUGACAGCUUAACCUGAUUAACCCACUGGGGCUUGCUAUUUUAUGAGCAUUUUUAAACAGAAAGGAAAGAUGAUAUCCCAGUGCAGGUAGACUUUAUUUUUGAAAGCAUCGUGGCCCCUCACCUCUCCCUCUCCCCCAGAACCUUGGCCAGAAUUGAGUCUUCGCGUUGGGGAGGCCACGCUGGAACCAUUGCUCUAGGGCUGAAGGUGGAAGUAGGGCCACUGCCGCAGCUUCAGCCAGAGCCCUCGCUGCUUCGCAGAAUUUAACAAGCACACGACUGGGAUUCCUUUGGAUAUGAGAAAGGAAGGCAAGUGCGGGCAAAGGGAAGCUCCUCCCGUUUUUCAUAAACAGAAGUAAGAUGUCCUCUUUCCCAGGUUUGCACAAUCACUUCUGGCAAAUUAAUUGAAGGUCCUUGAAUUCAGCCAGUGCACGAAACCUUUGCAUGUUCUUCUGAAACUGUACUUCUUCCCUAUUCUGUCUACCCACACUCUGCGAACUUUGCCUUUUCCUUAAACACAUUCCAGACCAAACACUGUUCAGUUUGUUAAAAAAAAAAAAAAAAAAAAAAGAUGUAUAUACCUGUAUGUGAUCCACCACCCUUUUGAGGGGCACCUGGUCCUCGGUUGGGGCUGCAGGUGUGCCUGACAUUUGCAAAAGAUAUUCCAGUCUUUCGAUGUUCAGAAUUGAAAAUGUGGAGAUAGAAAAGCUCAAACAGACUCCUAAAAGGAGGGUUUCUUUCCUGAAGACUCCAAGAAAAUGAGUGUGCAGAUGAGUUAGCUUGACAACCUCAACUCUGGGGAGCAGGCAGGCGGUCUGAGGAAGAUAAGGGCCCACGCCCCACUCACCUGGCACCUGUUCGGUGGUCCCGGGGCAUCAUGGUCUGCAGCUCUGGGCCCCCAGCCCCACUGUGAAGUCAGUCCUGCAUGCUGGCCGAGGCCCGGCCACCUCCCGAUGCCUCCAGAGUCAGUGGGAAGGAGUCAGCCCUUCCCAGACUUCCCCGCCACCUCCAGCAGGAGCAGCUCAGUUUGUGGCUCUGGGAGCUCCGCUUUUGCAAACCCAAAAAGGCUGUGCAUUUGGAAGCCAAACGCUCAGCAUGCGGCUGCCGAGUCUGGUUUUGUGGACAAAGCAAACUGUGGAAUGGCUUCUCGGUGUCUGUAUAAAGGGACAAACGGUUGCAUUCACCCUUUGUACUAUAACACCGCUUCUGCAUUCGCCAUAUCCGUUUUUUAACCUUUUUGUCUCCGGGGAACUUCUCAUUCGAUUAUUAUGUCUUCUGAUGAUUUGCCAUGUUAUUUUAAAGGUGAUUUUAUUUUCUUAUGGACAGGAAAAAAGAAAAUGAGGAGGAGUUGGUUUUACUCUUAGAGAUAAGACUUCAGCAGGGGCUCAGAAACCCCAAACUCUAGUUAAAUUGCUUCUCGGAGGAAAAUCUUAAUCUAGACAGAUUCAGAUUCCCAGGCUCUCCUGGAAGCCCUGCACUUCAGGGCACAGGGGCCCUGGGACGUGGUUGGCAGCCAGGCUGCGAGAGAGCUAAAAAGGAACAAGAACAUCAGCUCGGAUGUUUGUCUCUCAGCCCUGACACCUGCCACUCUCCUUCCCGGGGCACUUGGCCCUAUCAGAGGGACAUGAAAUGCUGUCCGAAUGGUGGCAGAAAUGCAGCGACAUUGCAUGCAGCAGAGUCUUUGCUUCGAAAGAUGGGGCGCCAUGUUUCAGAGAACAUUUAUCUUAGUCCCACGUUCAGGUGAGAAGACCUCAAAGGUACCCUCUGUCCAGAAUAAACAUUGGAACAAUCUCUCAAUUGGCUUUUGUCACUACACAUAAUGUAAUCUCCCUUCUUUCAGCUCCCCCAACAGUGAGCAUGCUUCCCAAAAAAUUACAACAUCAAAACCAGGAAUGUCCCCGCAUCUACUAUUACCAGGCUUGCAAUUGGUUCAAUUUUCCCAUAAAAACAUGUUUGUCCAAAAGAAGGGAAACUGUGAAUUUAUUCCAUGCAUGUAAUAAACUCUGCAAGAAGUUUAACCCACAUAGGUUUGCGGCACUGCAAAAUUGUUCAUGGGUCUAUGUAGCAAAUGAUUCUCUGCCUUGACAAUCAUGUAUACAUAUCAAGAUUUCUAUCAUAAUGAUAAUGAGAUUGAUGACUUCCUGUUUUCCUCCAAUAAAGACAAUUAAUCACCUUCA